UUUAGAUCCUGGCUCAGGAUGAACGCUAGCGGCAGGCCUAAUACAUGCAAGUCGAACGGGAUUGAGAAGCUUGCUUUUCAUGAGAGUGGCGCACGGGUGCGUAACACGUAUGUAACCUACCUUAAUCUGGGGGAUAGCCUCUCGAAAGAGAGAUUAGCACCGCAUAACAUUAUCGGACAGCAUUUUCUGAUAAUCAAAUAUUUAUAGGAUUAAGAUGGGCAUGCGGAACAUUAGCUAGUUGGUAAGGUAAUGGCUUACCAAGGCUACGAUGUUUAGGGGAUCUGAGAGGAUGACCCCCCACACUGGUACUGAGACACGGACCAGACUCCUACGGGAGGCAGCAGUAAGGAAUAUUGGUCAAUGGGCGCAAGCCUGAACCAGCCAUGCCGCGUGCAGGAAGACGGCCCUACGGGUUGUAAACUGCUUUUGUACCGGAAUAAACCUUUUCACGUGUGAGAAGCUGAAUGUACGGUAAGAAUAAGGAUCGGCUAACUCCGUG
rnacentral:rRNA from 1 species